rnacentral:tRNA from 1 species
GCGCCCGUAGCUCAGUGGACAGAGCAGGUGCCUUCUAAGCACUUGGUCGCAGGUUCGAUCCCUGCCGGGCGCACUA